rnacentral:rRNA from 1 species
AUGGGCCUCCGCUUCGCCCACCUCGCCGGCGGGGUCGCCCGAGCCGCGAUCUCUCGCCGUGGGCCACACCUCUCCCCAGCGUGCGCCCGCCGCGUGCUCGCCCCUCUCGCCUCGCCGGGUGAGCCAAGCGGCGGCAACUGGCUCGUCCCUUCCCGCGGCCACGGUGGCCACUCCAACCACCACGGCGAGGAAAGCGUCGAGGCAUCUGAGAAGAUCUUCCGCUUGGGCCUCGCUGCUGACGUCGUCCUCACCGUAGGGAAAGCCAUCACCGGUUACCUCUCCGGCAGCACGGCCAUCACCGCCGACGCCGCUCACUCCCUCUCUGACAUCGUGCUGAGCGGUGUGGCUCUGCUGUCGUACAAGGCGGCCAAGGUUCCUAGAGACAAGGAUCAUCCGUAUGGUCAUGGAAAGUUCGAGAGUUUAGGAGCUCUUGGAAUUUCAAGUAUGCUGUUGAUUACUGCAGGUGGGAUUGCCUGGCAUUCUUUUGAAGUUCUUCAGGGAGUUAUGUCUUCUGCUCCUGAUAUAAUUGGCAGCACAUCGCACAUGAAUCACAACCAUGGUAGUGGUGGGCAUAAUCAUGCAAUAGAUUUGGAACAUCCAGUCCUUGCAUUGAGUAUGACAACCUUAGCAAUAUCUAUCAAAGAAGGGCUCUAUUGGAUUACGAAAAGAGCUGGGGAGAAGGAAGGGAGUGGGCUGAUGAAAGCUAACGCAUGGCACCAUCGUGCGGAUGCUAUUUCAUCUGUUGUUGCCCUAGUAGGGGUAGGUGGCUCCAUUGUUGGAUUACCUUAUCUUGAUCCACUAGCUGGCCUUGUUGUCUCAGGCAUGAUUCUUAAAGCUGGUGUUCAGACAGGAUACGAGAGUACACUAGAGCUUGUUGAUGCAGCUGUUGAUCCAUCGCUUCUAGAACCAAUCAAGGAAACAAUUGUGAAGGCUGAUGGUGUAAAGGGGUGCCAUCGGUUGAGGGGAAGGAAAGCUGGGACCUCCUUGUAUCUUGAUGUGCAUAUCGAGGUAUAUCCUUUCUUGAGUGUCAGUGCAGCACAUGAUAUCGGGGAAACUGUCCGUCAUCAUAUACAGAAGACGCAUAGUCAAGUUGCCGAAGUUUUCAUACACAUAGACCCCUCAUAUUCAAUGGGUGCUAACGUGGACAAGAAAAGGAUUUUGGAGAACUUGGAGAGAAGAAAUUCAGACGUUAUUCCACGUCAACGAAGUGCAGAAGCUAUUGUGUCCGAUAUAAUUUCCUCCCAUUUUCCAAAGAAAAUGUGUCUUGAACAUCUGAUGCUGCAUUACUUACAAGGACGGGUGUUGCUUCAGGUCCAAGUUUCAAUGUCUCCAGAAAUUUUGAUUCGGGAUGCGAUGGACAUCGCAAAAAAAGCCGAGGAGGAGAUCAUGAAGGCUGACGCCAGCAUAUGUCAAGUCAGCGUACAGCUGAGAUUGGGGCAACAAAUUGAGCAACUUCAGCUGGCCGCAAGCAAAAGCGGAGCAAACGAUCGACAUGCAGAAAAGCAGUAG